CAUACCCUGCUAUGCAGGUGAUGCUGUAAAAACGGUUUUGGGCCAACACGAGUAAAAAUGGGUUUUCCGGUAUUCCCGACAAUGCGAUAGGCGAAAGCCAAGGCUGCGUUUGGAAAACGGGAAACCGUCCUGCGAUAGCAGGUUCAAAACUCAGCAGCACACGGCAUGGCGGGGUCUUU
rnacentral:other from 1 species